AAUUAGAUACAAAAAAUACAAUCCAUUGCCCUUUUGCUUAUUCAAGAUCAACCUACAAGUAGCUAACUAAUCUGUACAAAUUCGACCUUGAUUCUAAUCAUUUUCUUAAAUACUUUACAAACAUAAUUCAUCCAUAGUACCUGAACCAUAUAUAGUUGCAGCCUUGUUUCUUCUUCUUCUGAACUUAUCUCAUGCAACCAUUGCUCUAAGCCUAGUCUGAAUAAGUACAAUAGCUCCUUGUCAAUUAUGUGAAAAAUACAACCGGAGAGUGGCCUACCUUCAUAAUAGCAACAACUAACGAAGNCUUCAUAAUAGCAAUAACUAACGAAACAGGAAUGAAAGAGAAGGCAAUACUCACAAAUACAAACAUUUCUUCUUUAGUUCUUCACAUUCUUGCACUGACUCAUAAGCUUUAC
rnacentral:lncRNA from 1 species